rnacentral:rRNA from 1 species
AACGGCCAUGCCAUGCUGAAUAUACCGGUUCUCGUUAGAUCACCGAAGUCAAGCAUCAUUGGGCGCGGUCAGUAUUUGUAUGGGUGACCACCUGGAAACACCGCGUGCCGUU